rnacentral:rRNA from 1 species
AUACGGAGGAUCCGAGCGUUAUCCGGAUUUAUUGGGUUUAAAGGGUGCGCAGGCGGCCAUUUAAGUCAGCGGUUAAAUCGUGGGGCUCAACCCCAUACUGCCGUUGAUACUGGGUGGCUUGAUUGCGGUCGAGGUUGGCGGAAUUCGUUGUGUAGCGGUGAAAUGCAUAGAUAUGACGAAGAACACCGAUUGCGUAGGCAGCUGACCAGACCGCAAAUGACGCUCAUGCACGAAAGUGCGGGGAUCGAACAGGAUUAGAUACCCUGGUAGUCCGCACAGUAAACGAUGAAUACUUGUUUUCGGCGAUAUAAUGUCGGAGGCAAAGCGAAAGCGAUAAGUAUUCCACCUGGGGAGUACGCCGGCAACGGUGAAACUCAAAGGAAUUGACGGGG